GCAAUUUUCAAGAUAAAUAACAGUAGAGUUUCCAGGGCAACCAAACAGCCAGUGGAGAUGCUGCCAAGGACAUCGGUGACGUAGACAAAUUCACUAAACACCCCCUCAGUCCAGCCAGCAAGAGUGAAUCCUUCAUGUGUGGGCACUGAGACAGCUUCACCAGCAGAACUCGCCCAAUGAUAGCUGCUCUCACAACAGAAGGAAGCAGCAAACGCGGAAGAGAAUCCACCUGCAACGUUAAAGAAGCUUUGGAGACGGUUUGUCUCAGACCUUGGAGAACACACUUCACUAUGUGAGGAAGCCAAGUGAGCUGCUGCAGCAGGGGGGAUAUGAAGUCCCAGUCCUCACUGCAGGAGUGUGUGUCCUUUCAAGCUACAGGAAGAAAGAAAAUCACUGCCUAAUUUGGAAACGAUGAGCUUGUUUUACUCGUGGCAUGUCUGACUGCUCGCAAAAAGCAACAUAUGAAUACGUACACAAUAGCCUGACCGCACAAGGAAGACGUUUUCUUUUAACAAUAGCAACAAUUGAUUUUGCAGUACAAUAAAUACAAUGACUGCUACAUUAUCAUUAUGCACUCAAAACUGUCCUUUUCCAUAAUGUUGCACAGCUUGACUUCUGUCAUAGGUACAAUAUCCUGUGAGUGAAACUAACAGAACUUUGAAGGAAUUUAAACACAAUACACCACCAUGUCGUUAAAAGACAACAAAAGGUCAGUCACACAAUUUAGUGACAGAAACUGCAUUUGUCUCAUUGGUGCAUAUAAUUUGUAUGCUGUAUAUAUUAUUUAUGGCCGUUAAGCAUAAACACAGU